rnacentral:rRNA from 1 species
GUGUCAGCAGCCGCGGUAAUACGUAGGGUGCGAGCGUUAAUCGGAAUUACUGGGCGUAAAGCGUGCGCAGGCGGUUUUUUAAGACAGGCGUGAAAUCCCCGGGCUUAACCUGGGAACUGCGCUUGUGACUGGAAGGCUAGAGUACGGCAGAGGGGGGUGGAAUUCCACGUGUAGCAGUGAAAUGCGUAGAGAUGUGGAGGAACACCGAUGGCGAAGGCAGCCCCCUGGGCCGAUACUGACGCUCAUGCACGAAAGCGUGGGGAGCAAACAGGAUUAGAUACCCUAGUAGUCC